AAAGAAGGAAAUUAAGAAAAUGGUAAAUUCUUUUUGAUUUCAAGUGCUUUUCGUCUGCUCAUAAGCAAUACUAAACGAAAAUGACUCGUUUGUCGUUUAUAUUUUUGGCAACAAUCUUAAUGCUCGUGGCUCCAGUCAUAAACGGACAAUGCUUGCGUCCUGGUACUCGAUGUCAACCUGAUGGAAGUUUAGGCAAUUGUUGUCGAGGAAUUUGUUGGAAAGAGGUGGGAUGGACUAUUGGACAUUGUCAAUGGUUUCAAUCACGUUAAAUAAUUUUAUAAAAUAAAAAUAAAAUUUUAUAAAAUACUCACGAAAAAAAGUGUUCAUGUUUUGACAAAACCAAUAUUUUCUACUCUGAAUAAAAUAAUUUUACUUUUACUCUUGUAA